rnacentral:rRNA from 1 species
UACGAAGGGGGCUAGCGUUGCUCGGAAUCACUGGGCGUAAAGGGUGCGUAGGCGGGCCUUUAAGUCAGGGGUGAAAUCCCAAGGCUCAACCUUGGAACUGCCUUUGAUACUGGGGAUCUCGAGUCCGGAAGAGGUGAGUGGAACUGCGAGUGUAGAGGUGAAAUUCGUAGAUAUUCGCAAGAACACCAGUGGCGAAGGCGGCUCACUGGUCCGGUACUGACGCUGAGGUGCGAAAGCGUGGGGAGCAAACAGG